GACAGAGGUGCCGAGCGUUAGGCGGAAUCACUGGGCUUAAAGCGUGUGUAGGCGGACUUCUAAGUACCUUGUGAAAUCCCACGGCUCAACCGUGGAACUGCUUGGUAUACUGGUUGUCUUGAGCCACUUAGGGGCAGUCGGAACAGACGGUGGAGCGGUGAAAUGCGUAGAUAUCGUCUGGAACGCCAAAGGUGAAAACAGGUAGCUGGGAGUGUGCUGACGCUGAGACACGAAAGCCAGGGGAGCGAACGGG
rnacentral:rRNA from 1 species